rnacentral:rRNA from 1 species
GAUGAACGCUGGCGGCGUGCCUAAUACAUGCAAGUCGAGCGAACAGACGAGGAGCUUGCUCCUUUGACGUUAGCGGCGGACGGGUGAGUAACACGUGGGUCACCUACCUAUAAGACUGGGAUAACUUCGGGAAACCGGAGCUAAUACCGGAUAAUAUUUCGAACCGCAUGGUUCGAUAGUGAAAGAUGGCUUUGCUAUCACUUAUAGAUGGACCUGCGCCGUAUUAGCUAGUUGUUAAGGUAACGGCUUACCAAGGCAACGAUACGUAGCCGACCUGAGAGGGUGAUCGGCCACACUGGAACUGAGACACGGUCAAGACUCCUACGGGAGGCAGCAGUAGGGAAUCUGCCGCAAUGGGCGAAAGCCUGACGGAGCAACGCCGCGUGAGUGAUGAAGGUCUUCGGAGCGUAAAACUCUGUUAUUAGGGAAGAACAAAUGUGUAAGUAACUGUGGACGUCGUGACGGUACCUAAUCAGAAAGCCACGGCUAACUACGUG